rnacentral:tRNA from 1 species
UGGAAUGUAGCUCAGUGGUAAAGAUUUGACUAGCAGGUAUAAGGCCCUGGGUUCAAUUCCCAGUAUUGCAU